rnacentral:rRNA from 1 species
GAUGAACGCUGGCGGCGUGCCUAACACAUGCAAGUCGAACGGAGAUUACGGACGGAAGUUUUCGGAUGGAAGACUGUAAUUCUUAGUGGCGGACGGGUGAGUAACGCGUGGGCAACCUGCCCUAUACAGGGGGAUAGCAGCUGGAAACGGCUGGUAAGACCGCAUAAGUCGGUUAAAUCGCAUGAUUUGAUCGGGAGAUGAGCAAUCAGGUAUAGGAUGGGCCCGCGUCCGAUUAGCCAGUUGGCAGGGUAAAAGCCUACCAAAGCGACGAUCGGUAGCCGGACUGAGAGGUAGGACGGCCACAUUGGGACUGAGACACGGCCCAAACUCCUACGGGAGGCAGCAGUGGGGGAUAUUGCACAAUGGAGGAAACUCUGAUGCAGCGACGCCGCGUGAGUGAAGAAGUAUUUCGGUAUGUAAAGCUCUAUCAGCAGGGAAGAUGAUGACGGUACCUGAAUAAGAAGCCCCGGCUAACUACGUG